GCUUCGGAGAGCGCAUAGGCGGCGCCACUCGUGUCCGAGCGACGGCGCAGCCGGUUGUAAAAACGGGCUGAAGCGCGCUUGAAAAAGUUUUAAUUCUUUUUUCCCCGAAAUAAACAUCGCUUGCAACGUCUGACUGCUCGAGCGAGCGCCCCGCCAUGGCGGCCCUGCGGCCUGAGAAAGGGGCGGCGGGACGGAGCGCGUGCACGGCAAAAUAACGAGGCUGUGUGGUGCGGUAUCGUCCGGUAAUGAGCCAUUAGAGCCUAAGAAACGUCAGUUACCUUGCAUCUCAAUAAAAGUACCGCUCAAGCUGUCGGGUAAAAGAGCAGCUGCAACGUCAGCCGAGCGAGCUGCCUGCACAAACACGGCUAUUGCUGGCUCUUCAUACCGCCAGAACGAGUUCGGAAGCGUUUAAAAAGCGGGUAACAGCAUAAGGGAGCGCGCUUAGUACCGCUGGGCAGAUGCUGAGAUAAAUAUCAGUUUCAAAACAGCAACACGUGCAAUCAAACUAUUGAAUUCAAGCUCUUUAAGGCUGUGGAACAAACCUUGAGGAGAAGCCAGGUGCUUACAUACGCCACGAGCCAAUUUGUUUUAAAUGGAGAGGUAAAGAACUGUGAAGUUGUAGGAAUGUUUAAGGCCAUCGGAAAACCAGAGCCUGCAGGUUAACGAGAAGGUAAGUCUGAGAACUUAUUUUGUGCAGUAGAUGCAUUACUAAAAUUUGUUCUAAUAUGGAAUAGCCUUAAAAAUUAUGAAAUAUAUAUGAAAUAUAUUUUCAUUUAGUACAAGUGUAAUGGAUACAAAAAAUCAGCUGAACACUUGAUCCAUUAAUUAGGUAUCUGAGCACAUCUAUACAAAGCCGAAACUGGACAUCAUAGUUGGACUGAGCCAGUUACACCUGCCUGAUUAUCUCAUGAACAUAAAGGGAUAGGGGAGAUGGGGGCUGGAGAAACGUAACUUUUGGUGCAGCCCAUGAUCCCAUUAAGGGCUAACGCUGAUCAAUUUCACUCAGUCACAACUGUCAAGUCACAAUGUCAUUUUGCUAAUACAGUUCUCUGAAACACUGCUCAAGUUGACUUUAUGAUGUCAAUUUGGGAAACAAUUUUCCUUCCUUCCUUCCAUUAAUGCUAGACCUACAGAAUUACAAAUAACAAUUACAUCGUAUUCAAAAAGCCUAAGAAAAUGAAUAGGAUAGUACCUCUUCUAAUAGAUAAACCAUUUAGAAAAUUAGUUUCUUAUCAGAGUCUUUUUGAUAGCACACUAGAAAUUCAACAUAUCCAGUUUAUGAGACAGAAAUCCAAGAUGCUGCUUCUAAAGCUGCAUAAAAGUAGAUGAGGGUGAGGGCUUUCUUUCAGGUACAGGAAGAGACAUUUUCUUUAAAAGUCCACUUACAGCUUUCCCUUCAGGUUACAUCCCUCAAUUUUAACGUGAGAUGAUUUGAAUGCAAUAUCAAUCCCUAAACAUCCAGGUGCCGUGCUAAUCAUCCUUAUUUCAUCUUAGAUGAUGUGCUGAUUGGGAUGAAAAACAUUUAUUGCCAGGGAAUGCAAGCAGUUGCAGAUGGGAGAGUUUUAAGGACCUUCUCCCUCUCCCUCUGAAAAAACAUAAUGGCCAAACAAAAGCAGCUUAAGUCAUUACCUUUCUGCAUGAGCACGGAGUAUGCCGAUCUCACAUUAAAUGAUGGAAUUUUGCCAAAGUUAAUAUGAAAACUCCUUGUACUUAAUUCUGCCACUGAACAUAAGAAAUCUGACAUUAGUACAAGACUAAUUGCCCACUUAGCUUGUGAUCUUGUGAUGGAAUAACUACAGUAGUUUUAUAAUUUAUAAUUACAAGGACACUAUUGCAGUUUUGCAAUGCAUUUUCCACAAGAUGAUAACUAUAUUUAAGCUCAAGUUUUAAAAAGAAAACCAUUCUCUUUUGAAGUUCAAAAGGAGAAUUUUCUUGUUUAGAACAAUUUUUUGCUUGCUUCUCAGACAAAGCACCCAGAGGUAAAAGUUAAGUCAGGUUAAGUCAGUUAAGUCAGGUCACCCAGAGGUAAAAGUUAACUACCCAUCUCAUCUGCAGAACUGAUGGUGCCAGCACAAAUAAUUAAAUGCCUUCAUUUGUUCCACACUGAAUGCAGAUGGAGCACUGUAAAUAGGAGCACAGAUCUGAAAGACUGAGGCAGUUCUAUUUGUUUAGUUGCAAAAUGAGCUUUGCACGGACAAGAGGAAGAGCUUUAUUUUUCAAGAUGUGACUUCGACAGUCUUAUUAAUGGAAUUUAAUGUCAAGCAGCUUCCUCGUGUCCCUUUCUAUCUACAGCAGACUUGAGAUAAGAAAUCUGAAGAAUACCACAAAUUUUGCCCACUGACACUUAACAUCUGCACCUCAGAUAAGCAUUCAUAACAAAUUAUUCUUGCAAAGAAAUGGUAAAAAAGUCAGCUACUUAGCUUGGCUACGUCCAGACCUUCAAAUAAAGACCAGGAGUGUCAAGAGUCUUCUGAUCAUUUACCUUAUUCUGCUGGAUUACAAAGUUUUUGCCCUAUCUGCAAUUAACCACAGGAAGUUACUGCUUUCUCACUAUUAUUUAUCACACCUUGAAUAUUUGCCUAGGGUUAAAGCCAUUUCAACACCUAAUUAUUCAAAUGCCAUUUGGGGAGAGAAGGACAGCUUGUCCAUUCUAUAGUGACAAUGUACACGAAGGUAACCUCCAACCCAAUCAAAUAAUCUGCCUAAAACAUAACAUAUGUGGGAUGUAUGGAGAAGACUUUUAAGGUAAUGAAAUUCUCUGAAAGUUACAAAGUCCCAGCAGAAUACACCAUUAGCUAUUAUCCAGCCAUCACUGUCAUUCUUGCAUCUACUCUGGAUGAUGUCUAAUCAUAAGACUUCAAUACUUUACUGCCAUACCCUGGAAAGAAAAAUGGCAGUUAAGCCUAGGAUUAUAGAUUUACUAUAACAAAAUCUAAAAUUUGUAUUGGUGGACUCUUUAGAAGAGAGCCAGUACAUACAACUAAGUAGGACAAGAUUGACCUUAGGUACGACAAGCAGCUCAUGAUUUAAGUUAUGCAACAUGUCCAGAAAGGUCUGAAAUGUCCCAGAUACAGUAACAUUAGGUAGAAACAUCUGAAAACUCUGGAGCCACCUCACGGAUGAUUUACUCAAGAAUCCUUUUAUGACACACUGCAGUGCUAAAAGCUGGUUCUCAAACACGUAUGUUAUCACAGCCUUGCUACUAGAUAAUGAAGUCCCAGCUGGGAACAAAAACACUUCUCUCGUAAUAGCUGCACACACCAGAAGGCAGUCAUUACUUGUCUGUAAUGCUCCAAAGAGACUAAUUCAGGGAAGAAUCAAGUAAACCACCAUGAGAGCAACUGAUGUAUGUAUAUACAGGCUCAAAAGUACGAUAUUUGCCCCCUGGUGUCAAAAGAAAGGGCUCUACAACAGAACCAGGCCAGAACUGCUACCUAUUUCACCUGCUUACCAUCAUUUUGUAACUGUUCCAUGUUCACAACACAGAUUUCUUUUUCCCCAAAUGAAAGUGAUCUUGAAUUGCUUUUGAUCUGAGUGCAACUCAGAUCUAGAAGUAAUCUAAGCAGUGAUGGUACUUGAAAGCUCUGAAGUCCUCUCUCUCUCUCUCUCAAUACAGUUCUUUAAAAUGUGUAGCAUCACACUUGCACUGCAGUGGACCAAGCAAAGAAAACAAGCUGGACCCUUACAAUCAACCAUAAUGUUGACUGACAAACCCCCUGAACAGGCCAGAAAACCAGUUAAUGAAUCUAUGUGCCAUACUGUGACUCGAGGCAAUUUUUCAGUAUACUGUUUAUUAGCUGCAUGUAUUGAGAUUAAAGGAGUCAGUGCAAAUUCCCAGAUUAAACAUGUAUUAAGUACUUGUUUAUAGUUAUUAUCGUUACACAUCUCCCUCUAUCAGCAUACAGUAGAACAGCUAUUCUAAAGACCAUUUUCAUACACGAAAAGGCUUACAACUUUGCAUCUCAAAUAAGAGGCCUCUCAAACACCCACGUUUUAUUAAUAAAUUUAAAUUAUGCUUCAAAAAAAAAAAAAAAAAAACUUAAGUGGAAUGUUCUGAUCAAUUCAGUGGUCUUUAAUUCAGUAUGCUGCAA